rnacentral:rRNA from 1 species
UAAGGCUGAGGCGUGAUGACGAGGCACUACGGUGCUGAAGCAACAAAUGCCCUGCUUCCAGGAAAAGCCUCUAAGCAUCAGGUAACAUCAAAUCGUACCCCAAACCGACACAGGUGGUCAGGUAGAGAAUACCAAGGCGCUUGAGAGAACUCGGGUGAAGGAACUAGGCAAAAUGGUGCCGUAACUUCGGGAGAAGGCACGCUGAUAUGUAGGUGAAGCGACUUGCUCGUGGAGCUGAAAUCAGUCGAAGAUACCAGCUGGCUGCAACUGUUUAUUAAAAACACAGCACUGUGCAAACACGAAAGUGGACGUAUACGGUGUGACGCCUGCCCGGUGCCGGAAGGUUAAUUGAUGGGGUCAGCGCAAGCGAAGCUCUUGAUCGAAGCCCCGGUAAACGGCGGCCGUAACUAUAACGGUCCUAAGGUAGCGAAAUUCCUUGUCGGGUAAGUUCCGACCUGCACGAAUGGCGUAAUGAUGGCCAGGCUGUCUCCACCCGAGACUCAGUGAAAUUGAACUCGCUGUGAAGAUGCAGUGUACCCGCGGCAAGACGGAAAGACCCCGUGAACCUUUACUAUAGCUUGACACUGAACAUUGAGCCUUGAUGUGUAGGAUAGGUGGGAGGCUUUGAAGUGUGGACGCCAGUCUGCAUGGAGCCGACCUUGAAAUACCACCCUUUAAUGUUUGAUGUUCUAACGUUGACCCGUGAUCCGGGUUGCGGACAGUGUCUGGUGGGUAGUUUGACUGGGGCGGUCUCCUCCUAAAGAGUAACGGAGGAGCACGAAGGUUGGCUAAUCCUGGUCGGACAUCAGGAGGUUAGUGCAAUGGCAUAAGCCAGCUUGACUGCGAGCGUGACGGCGCGAGCAGGUGCGAAAGCAGGUCAUAGUGAUCCGGUGGUUCUGAAUGGAAGGGCCAUCGCUCAACGGAUAAAAGGUACUCCGGGGAUAACAGGCUGAUACCGCCCAAGAGUUCAUAUCGACGGCGGUGUUUGGCACCUCGAUGUCGGCUCAUCACAUCCUGGGGCUGAAGUAGGUCCCAAGGGUAUGGCUGUUCGCCAUUUAAAGUGGUACGCGAGCUGGGUUUAGAACGUCGUGAGACAGUUCGGUCCCUAUCUGCCGUGGGCGCUGGAGAACUGAGGGGGGCUGCUCCUAGUACGAGAGGACCGGAGUGGACGCAUCACUGGUGUUCGGGUUGUCAUGCCAAUGGCACUGCCCGGUAGCUAAAUGCGGAAGAGAUAAGUGCUGAAAGCAUCUAAGCACGAAACUUGCCCCGAGAUGAGUUCUCCCUGACUCCUUGAGAGUCCUGAAGGAACGUUGAAGACGACGACGUUGAUAGGCCGGGUGUGUAAGCGCAGCGAUGCGUUGAGCUAACCGGUACUAAUGAACCGUGAGGCUUAACCUUACAACGCCGAAG